AGCGAACGCUGGCGGCAGGCCUAACACAUGCAAGUCGAACGAACCUUUCGGGGUUAGUGGCGGACGGGUGAGUAACACGUGGGAACGUUCCUUUAGGUUCGGAAUAACUCAGGGAAACUUGUGCUAAUACCGAAUGUGCCCUUCGGGGGAAAGAUUUAUCGCCUUUCGAGCGGCCCGCGUCGGAUUAGCUAGUUGGUUGAGGUAAUGGCUCACCAAGGCGACGAUCAGUAGCUGGUCUGAGAGGAUGAUCAGACACAUUGGGACUGAGACACGGCCCAAACUCCUACGGGAGGCAGCAGUGGGGAAUCGUGCGAAAUGGGCGAAAGCCUGACGCAGCCAUGCCGCGUGAAUGAUGAAGGUCUUAGGAUUGUAAAAUUCUUUCAACGGGGACGAUAAUGACGGUACCCGGAGAAGAAGCCCCGGCUAACUUCGUG
rnacentral:rRNA from 1 species